AUAUCAAUAAGCGGAGGAAAAGAAACCAACAGGGAUUGCCUCAGUAACGGCGAGUGAAGCGGCAACAGCUCAAAUUUGAAAUCUGCCUCUAGGCCGAGUUGUAAUUUGUAGAAGAUGCUUCGGGUGUGGCACUGGUCUAAGUUCCUUGGAACAGGACGUCAUAGAGGGUGAGAAUCCCGUAUGUGACUGGCUGCCUUCGCCCAUGUGAAGCUCUUUCGACGAGUCGAGUUGUUUGGGAAUGCAGCUCAAAAUGGGUGGUAUAUUUCAUCUAAAGCUAAAUAUUGGCCAGAGACCGAUAGCGCACAAGUAGAGUGAUCGAAAGAUGAAAAGCACUUUGGAAAGAGAGUUAAACAGUACGUGAAAUUGUUGAAAGGGAAGCGCUUGCAAUCAGACUUGCGCGCCGUCGAUCAUCCGAGGUUUUCCCCGGUGCACUCGGCGGUGCUCAGGCCAGCAUCGGUUCGGGCGGUGGGAUAAAGGCCUUGGGAAUGUAGCUUCUUUCGGGGAGUGUUAUAGCCCUCGGUGCAAUGCCACCUGUCUGGACCGAGGACCGCGCUUCGGCUAGGAUGCUGGCGUAAUGGUUGUAAGCGA
rnacentral:rRNA from 1 species